AACGAACGCUGGCGGCAUGCCUAACACAUGCAAGUCGAACGAGACCUUCGGGUCUAGUGGCGCACGGGUGCGUAACGCGUGGGAAUCUGCCCUUAGGUUCGGAAUAACUCAGGGAAACUUGAGCUAAUACCGGAUGAUGUCUUCGGACCAAAGAUUUAUCGCCUAGGGAUGAGCCCGCGUAGGAUUAGCUUGUUGGUGAGGUAAAGGCUCACCAAGGCGACGAUCCUUAGCUGGUCUGAGAGGAUGAUCAGCCACACUGGGACUGAGACACGGCCCAGACUCCUACGGGAGGCAGCAGUGGGGAAUAUUGGACAAUGGGCGAAAGCCUGAUCCAGCAAUGCCGCGUGAGUGAUGAAGGCCCUAGGGUUGUAAAGCUCUUUUACCCGGGAUGAUAAUGACAGUACCGGGAGAAUAAGCCCCGGCUAACUCCGUGCCAGCAGCCGCGGUAAUACGGAGGGGGCUAGCGUUGUUCGGAAUUACUGGGCGUAAAGCGUACGUAGGCGGUGAUUCAAGUCAGAGGUGAAAGCCCGGAGCUCAACUCCGGAACUGCCUUUGAAACUAGAUCGCUUGAACGUCGGAGAGGUGAGUGGAAUUCCGAGUGUAGAGGUGAAAUUCGUAGAUAUUCGGAAGAACACCAGUGGCGAAGGCGGCUCACUGGACGACUGUUGACGCUGAGGUACGAAA
rnacentral:rRNA from 1 species